AAUAGAUACCCGGGUAGUCCACGCCGUAAACGAUGAGUGCUAAGUGUUAGAGGGUUUCCGCCCUUUAGUGCUGCAGCUAACGCAUUAAGCACUCCGCCUGGGGAGUACGGCCGCAAGGCUGAAACUCAAAGGAAUUGACGGGGGCCCGCACAAGCGGUGGAGCAUGUGGUUUAAUUCGAAGCAACGCGAAGAACCUUACCAGGUCUUGACAUCCUCUGCCAACCCUAGAGAUAGGGCGUUCCCCUUCGGGGGACAGAGUGACAGGUGGUGCAUGGUUGUCGUCAGCUCGUGUCGUGAGAUGUUGGGUUAAGUCCCGCAACGAGCGCAACCCUUGAUCUUAGUUGCCAGCAUUCAGUUGGGCACUCUAAGGUGACUGCCGGUGACAAACCGGAGGAAGUGGGGAUGACGUCAAAUCAUCAUGCCCCUUAUGACCUGGGCUACACACGUGCUACAAUGGAUGGUACAAAGAGCUGCGAACCCGCGAGGGUAAGCCAAUCUCAUAAAGCCAUUCUCAGUUCGGA
rnacentral:rRNA from 1 species